CCCCAAAUUCCCACACGACUUCUCUUUUCUUUUUUAAUUUUUUAAAAGUUUUCAAUUUUGUGUGAUUCUCUUGCGUCUUCUAUAAAUCACGCCAGACCUCUCUUUUUUCCAUCCUUCCGUGUACGGUGUACCCUUGUCUCCAUUAUGUAUUUUCUUUUUCUAAAGUUUUUGGGUUGCUCUCUUUGUACUAAUUCAUCUACUCCAAGAAUUCCAGAGGCUCUGUACAGUUAAAAGCUAAGGUGGAUGAUGAAGCAGUUUGUGAUCCAUAAAAACGCCAUUGGAAUCAGCCGUGAGGAGAUGCAAAGCUCCAUUCCGAUGUCAGUUAUGGUUACGGAUCGGGGAGAGACUAUGGUCUGUCCAAAACCACGUCGUUUGAGUCUCUUGAACACCUCCUUCAACGACCACCCUGUUAGGCCACUUAGAUGGCAACUUAGUCAUCAAGGGGGAGUUUUGUGAUUCAAAACCAGGGAGUGAUGUUCUGGAUAUGGUACUUACAAAGGGUGACUGUGGACUGGAGGAGACUCCUACACAAGUAGCGUCACCGCCCCCAUUUUUUUGUGGGUCGCCGCCGAGCAGAGUAGCUAACCCAUUAAUACAGGAUUCCCGAUUUGGGGAUGAGAAGUUCACCACCUCACUUAUAUCGCUGUCUCUGAUCCCACCUCCUUUGGGCCUGUCCUCGUCUCCAUCGUCCGGUUCAAGGAAAGGGGGCCGUGUUCGAGCAAGUUUUGGGAACAAACCAGCGGUGAGAGUCGAGGGGUUCGAUUGCGCCGAAAUUGCGGCAUCCCUGCACUGGCUUAGAAACAAGAAAAGUACAUAGAGGACGAUGAAGAGGAGCUUAGAACCCACCCCUGAUGUAAAUACUUUCGGAGGGGGUUCUUUGUAUACAAUGUAAAUGAGUUUGUUGAAGAAAAUGAAGCAUAGAGCCGUAGUUUAGGUGUGGUGUUAGGAAACCAUCCCGCAAAGAUGGAAGAUAGUUUGAGGUGUGUUGACGGUGUAGUGUCCCUGGUCCGGAAGAAAUUUUUCAUUUUCUGAGGUCCUUAAGUUGAGAAUUGUCCAUAAAUCAAAGCAAGUAAUCGAGUCUAUUAGACAUUAGGCAAUAUAUGUUUAUAAUCCUAUUAUGUUUUUGCAUUGAUUCCAUAA